UAGAGUAAUGCGUGACCAACCUGCCCCAUGCUCCAGAAUAGCUCUUGGAAACGGGUGGUAAUGCUGGAUGCUCCAACUUGACGCAUGUCUUGUUGGGAAAGUGUUUAGUGGCAUGGGAUGGGGUCGCGUCCUAUCAGCUUGUAGGCGGGGUAAUGGCCCACCUAGGCUUCGACGGGUAGCCGGCCUGAGAGGGCGGACGGCCACAUUGGGACUGAGAUACGGCCCAGACUCCUACGGGAGGCAGCAGA
rnacentral:rRNA from 1 species